AUGUAUCGCACUGCGAGUCUGACAGCCUCAGUAUGAAUGGUGGGGCCGCAGCGGACAAGCCCGGGACAGCAAUUAAAGAAAGUUAGUGAGUGGACAGACAGAAAGAAAGAAGGCGCGCAUACGGUCUGCUGUGUGUUCAGGAUGGUUUUUACUCCGCACUGAAAGAGUUUGAAAGCGAAAGAAAAUGUGUCAGGUCAUAUUGGUGCAAAUGCGCGCCUCGCAAACGUGGGCUGAAUUAAAAUAGAAAAAGAAAAGAUGUGCAAAGUUUGCGCCUGACCGCCAGUGAUGUGAGUUUUCACUGAAGACUUUCCUAUGAAGAGGAGGAUGAAGAGAGACAAACUGGGCUAAGGCACAGAAUGGAGAGACAGUUUCACCGCAGGACUAUCGGGCUGGUUUCCACCACAUUCACCGAUCCUGACGAGCAGUGGGGAAACCACCUCAGCAAAGCUCAUCUGUUGAAACAACGCUGAGUCAUUUUCUGGUCUUGACAUCAUCACCAUGGGCCGGACAGGCCGGUGACCACAGGCAGCGACUCAAGGGGUGGUGCUGUGUGCCGUGGUUUGCAGCGUCUGGUUCUUGGCAAAAUAAAUUGCGGCGUUGCCUCAGGGAAGAACUGGCUCAAAAGUUGAGAGGAAGAACAAAUUCAAGAGGUCUGAGGGCCCAUAUGACCCAUACUGCAAAUAGUCGGUGGCAUCGAGGGCAAGACAAGAGGCGACACCCCACCCCCAGCUCACUGUUACACAAAUACUGGUUGUAAAUGUGAUCAUCAGCACAAGAUGGCAGCGCACAUUUCUGAGAUAUUUUGGCUUGUUCGUUAUUGCCUGUUUAUAAAAAUGUCUUUAAAUAUGACAUUUAAAUAUCAUUAAACAUCAGAACUAAUGACAACAGCUGUAAAGGCCUAAGAUUUCUAUCUGAAGUUUAACAGACAAAGUUCAGUAAAGUGGACAAUUUUGUUUAUUGUGGAGUUUAAUGUUAAAGUCAUUUGUAAUGUCUCAAAGAGUAGAGGCAGUAUGUGACCUAGGAAGACCCAAUAGUAUACAGUGCAUGUGUGAAAGAGGGCAAGACAGAGCAAGUCCGGGAGAGAGAAAGGGGGCGGGAGAUAUAUAUUUUGCUGCCUAUAAAGCUCACCGUGCUUCUUGUUUUAGGGACUUUAGCAGAAGUGAAUCCUGGCUGUAAGAAAUGAUCAAUAAAAUACGUCAAACUGAGGAAGUUGUCCGUUGUAUUUGUGUUCACAUUUCUAUAAAGGCCGGUCACAUCUUGUGCAGAACAUGUCCUUUUAUAGAAUCAUUGUGUAAUAACCCUGAGAUACAGUAUCUCGGUCCUCAUCAAAAAAGGCACCAACGCUGACAAGACUUCAAAUGACUAGGUGGCACACAUCUAUGUGAUUUAUGGUUUACACAUGGCUGUCAUUUGUUCCAUUUGUCAGGAUGUGUUGCUUCCUGUUGCCUUUUCUUUUGGUAUCUAGAUAUACAGAUGAAGUGUAGUUGUAGUUUCCACUGAUGCUGUUGUUUUUUUGACAUAAGUGAUAAUGUCCACAAGUCACCAACACUGCAAUGUAUGUUGUUCACAACAUUUACAACUCUCACUUUCACUGAGAAACGUACUACAAAUGUACUAUGAACAGAAUGCAGUGGAACAACACAUCUCAUACAACUUAAAUGCAUGUAAAACCUUUGGCUCAUACUUACUGACUGUCAUGUCAAUGGGCUCAUAUCAUGAGGUGGUGAAACUCCAAGCUGAUGGCCAGCUACUGUUGGGCUGUCGAUGAGGCCUUAGUUUUUGUGGAGAGGAAGGAGAUGGAUCUGUUAUCUUAUCCUAGGAACCCUCCCUCUCUCAGCUCACAUAGCUCUAUCUCUCUGUCUAUGUAUUUGACCUGGCAAUGUCUUCUACUUCUUGGUAGGGGUUGAACUGACUGGCUGACUACUCAACGUCACUGCUGUGCCAUAAUGCCUUAAGCAGGGGGUCGACAAAGUGAAGGACAAAAACUCUAAAAAGGCUUGAAACUGUGUGUGUGACAAUCCUGAAGGCCAUUAAAUGAGUCAUCAGACUGGACACCUCACUGCUCUUCUUCAGCUCUGUAGACAUUUUGCAGACUGGAACAGUAUGCCCGUUUCUGGCUUUGGGUUGAUCUGGAGCUUUUAUCUCUCAGAUGAAUGGAAACUAGAUAGUUUGAUUUUAACAUUUCCACUGGAUCAGGUGCAGCCACACACAUAAAACACAAAUAUCUGUGUGAAUAUUGCAGUUCACUCCAGUAAUCCGUCUAUAAAUGCUUUAUCUCAUUUGUGCACGGGAGACAAUUAUCAGAAAUAACAGGUCGUGUGAAUGAAGAUAAAUCUGGGGAAUAUAGUCAAUGACCUAACAUCACAGAACUCAUGUUAUCUAAACAUCGGACUUGUGUGCUUUGUAGUGUGGUCUUGAAAAGUUUGCAGCUUUGGGUGGAUGUGGGACGGUCAUUUUGGAAUGGUGGCCACAAAAUGCACAUGUGGCUUUCCCAAGUCCACAUAAGUAACCACACGGUGCAUCCUCAAUGAAAUGGGAGGGGCAAGUACACAUCCAGGUAUUCAGACUGUACUUGGCCUGAUGUAUUUUUACCAGAACACAUGUACAGACGGGAAUUCAUCCUGAGAAAUGCCCUUGAUAUGGUGUCUCCAGAUGUCGCCUACUUGGCAGAGCCUGACUCCUGACUAGUUAAAAUAUGGAAAUAUUAAGGAGGAGGGGUGACAACUAGGCAGACAGUUAGUGUUCCUGCACCCAACGGUCACUCAAAGCAACAAGCUCUCUAAAUUAUGUAAAGGUUUACGCUUUGUAAUAAAUCAUUUUAAACAACCCACCUAUGUUUCAGUUAGUUUUCUUUCAGUUUAUCUACAACCCUACGACAGAAAUAUUUGCACAACAACUGUCAUGAAUUCUAUUGACGGUCCUCAGGAUGAAUCGUAAUGACUUUUUCUGAGAAUCUGGAAGGUUUUUGUUGCCAGCUAUUAGAUGGAUGAAUGUUCCUAUUUUUCUUUUCUCACAUCAUUGUCAUCAGGUCAAAUAUAUAUGCUUCAUAUGCUAGCACUGUUCUUAACAGCCUGUUCACAUCAAACUCAAAGGACAAAUAUAAACUUGCAGAGCUUCAAAUACUGUACGUCCCAAUUAAGCACCACAUACAGAAUAUACAACACACACAGUCAACAUUAAGGACAAAGGGAGGCCAUGCUGUAUUUUGCAAUUCGUCAGUUUAGGUAUGAGCAGCCUACGGAAGGUAGGCUGAAGGUGUGUGUAAAAAGUGAAACAGAUGGUUUUGCCAGGAGGACACACACACACACACACACACACACACACACACACACACACACACACACACACACACACUCACUCACACACACCCUUGUAUGGCCAUCUUUGUGAGGACGCUCAUUGGCAUAAUGCAUCCCCUAGCCCCUUACCCUAACCCUAACCAUCUCAACUAAAUGCUUAACCCUAACCCCAACCAUAACCUAAAUGUAACCUUUACACUAAAAUUGAGUUUUAACCUUCAAAACAGCCAAAAAGUGAGGCCAAAAAGGCGAGGACCAGCCAAAAUGUCCUCACUUCACACAAAUGUCCUCAAUCUGAUGGUAUAAAAUUUAAGUGGUUCUUGGAAAGAUAGCUGCACAAGUACACACACACACACAGAGCUAGGGCAUCAAGGGCCAGAAGUGGGAAACAGCAACACCAGAACAGCCUGGCAAUAGCCCCAAAGACUCUCAUUUAUGCAGUCAGAAGAAAUAAAACUCUAUCACAUUUAACUUUGCUCAUCUCCAGUUCAUUUUGUGGAUGCGCUUAAAGCAAAGUCUAUAUGUAUAUAUAUAUAUAUAUAUAUGUAUAUAUAUAUGCCACUCUUUCCAAUACAUUUAUUUUAUGUUAUGUUUUCCCAGCUGGGAGAUAUUCUCUUAAACCGCCUGUAUCCUUAAAACUAAUGUGUGCAUAGUGUGCAAGUUUUGCCUCUAGCUUUGAUGAUACAAACCACCACAGAGGCCUUGCACUCUAUCACGUUUACCUUUGAGACCUCGACGCAAAUUCUUGAAUAUACUAAAAGUAACUGGUAAAUGUUUCGUUUGCAUUUGCAUUGGAGUUGAUAGACAGAUGUAAAGACCGUGAAACAUGAGCUCUGAUUUUAUAGCUGUAUCAUCUGUAAAACUAAACUGCUCAAUAAAAGAUGUUUGGAUGAACUUGAGGUCAGGCGUCAGAUAGACAGACAGGUAGAUGCCCCGGGUCACUGCAACAUAAAUCCCUUAUAACCAUGAGUCACCUGAACAUUUCAGGUGCAGACGUCAAAAGAUAAGAGGAGUGUAAACAAAUAUUCAUCAAGGUGUGCUUCACAUGUACUCUGGCACCGGGACGUCUCAGUCUGGGUGUAAAUGUUUUUCUUUACUGUGCUGACUCACUCUUGCCGUAGAGAAGCCCUCUUUCUUUCUCCUUUCACUCUUGCAAUUGAUAGACGAUUAAAAUGGACAAAAUGGAGUUCUGGUUUAUGCUGAGUCUUAACAAAACAAUGAGUCAAUCUUUCAGACUAUUGUGUGUUUAAAUGUGUUAAACCAACAACAACAAGGAUCACAAUUGUCUCACAAAGAUAUUUUUAUGGGUGACUAACUGGGAAGAAGUUUGUUUGUGAACUUGUUCUGUCAUUGUCUUUAACAUCCGUGCCUGGAACUCUGCUGUUUGGAAAUGCUCAUGUGUACAGAUGGGCACAGUGAUAUCUAAAACGUUUGGUACUAAAUCUAUUUUUGGAACACAGAUACCAGUGUUGUAAAUCGAUUAAAAAUAAUCUAUCCACUUAAUGUUAGGUCACACAGUUGACUCAUAAAGAAGUGCAGACGGAUCACCCUUUUUUUUUUUUAUUACAGCGCUACUCAGUGCCAGUGAAGACACUUCCCAUAGUACGAUGACUAAAGUCAGUGUAGCAUUGUUGUGCUUCAUUUCUGAAUUAGUUUGAACAGGUUCAGCCACAUCGUGUUUACUGACUCAUUUUUAAGGCUCUUAUUGAUACAUUUACAGCACACUUUUCAUGAGUAGAAAUUAUUUUUUUUUGAUUUAUAGUCUGAAAAUACUCCCAAUUGUAUCACAUCCAUUAGCCCAAUCGUGUGGAAGUUCACGUACUGUAAUUUUUUUAUAUUCUUUUAUUUUACAGAAAGUUAUUUCAACUGGCGUAAACUCUCGUGCCUGCAGUUGAUAUUUGAUAGGACGUGUUUGAACUAAAAUCCCUAUCUUUUUGUGUUUUUGUUGCCUAAACCUAACCAAUCAGUGCCUGAAAGUGUGUGUGUGAAAGAAAAGAGUGAGUGAAAAUGAAACGUCUGUGUAAGAACUAAACGUGAAAAGUUAUGAUCCAACACAAGAAUAUAACCUCGGCCUAUCUGUCUGGUGAGAGUCCUGAGAGUGACUCGAGCCGCCCCCUCCAAUCCAACCCCGUGUUGUGGACUUUCGUGUUUCUACCAAUGUGACGUAGUUAUUAUCAUUGUGUCGAUCAGUAGCGAGAAAAAAAGAAAAUGUUUCCUCACAAACUGCGUUGACACAGUUGUGAUGUCUUUAAAAGCAAGUGGUAGGCAAGCGAAACACCUUAUUUAAAAGUUUCCACCAAUAUACAAAAAUACGAAUGACCUCGGUCAGUGCCCUAACACACCUUUUUGAUUAGAGCCUUUGAGUUGCAGGUUUUCUGUAUUUUUCCUAAAUGCAUUUAAGUCAGUUUUUUAUCUACAGUAUUACAGCAUAACAAGAAACAUGGAUGUAGUAUUGUUUGAUAUUUCAUUGCAACAAAUUCAUGCUUGUUUUGUCUGUCCAUCGUCAUAUCUCCUAAUUGGUUCCAUUUUUAUUGCUGCAAAGACGAACGGCCCAUCACUUUUUAUCUGCAAGCGGGCCGACCAGUUGCGACGUAAGUGUGCCAAGAUGCAGUACAAAGUCUCAUCUUGUGUGUCAGAUCGUAAGUAGAACCAGACUGCUGUGUUCAUCACAAGAACCAUGUUAUAUAAACACUGAAAACAAGUGACUCUUCAGAUAUUUUGGCAACGAGUGCUUCAGCUUCAGUUUGUCCUGAAGCUGAAGCGCACACACGCACGCUCAAAAGACACAAUUAAUGUUGAAAAUAUUAGGAUUUUGUUCCCCUGACUUUUUAACAUUUAACAAGCAACUUUGCAGCAUCAUUUUUCUUUGAAACUUCUUUUCUAAACAUUAUCGUGAAUUUAUUUUCCUGCUUUGUUUUUAUUUCCUUUGGAUUCGAUGAGUUUACAGAGAUUCUUGACUGGAUAAUACAAACUAAAUGACCUUGUAGUGUUUGUGUGUGCGUGUGUGUAGCUCAGUCACUGCACUGCCUCUGUCGUCUGUGAAGCGUCGACCGAGAAUACGCCCAGACAUGUCUAAGAGCAACCUUACACACACACACACACACACACACACACACACACACACACACACACACACAAACACACACACACAAGUACACACUCUAGUCUACAUGCUGCACACACACACACACACACACACACACACACACUCACACAAACACAAAUACACACUCUAGUCUACAUGCUGCAUGCGUACAGAGAAUAAGGGACGCACAAUCUUCUAUAAAAACACACGCACAUAUUCAAGGACUGUGGUUAAAGCUAGCGGCUCAGCUGUCUUACAGCCCAGAUAAGACAGUCCUGGGCUGGGCCUCACUCUGACACCAUGGACUCCUUCAAUGGUAAAAUUAAUAAACAAUGACCUCAGUGACAUGGAA